rnacentral:rRNA from 2 species
UGUUGGGCUUGAGUGUGGUAGGGGCAGAGGGAAUUCCCGGUGUAGCGGUGAAAUGCGUAGAUAUCGGGAAGAACACCAGUGGCGAAGGCGCUCUGCUGGGCCAUAACUGACGCUCAUGGACGAAAGCCAGGGGAGCGAAAGGGAUUAGAUACCCCUGUAGUCCUGGCCGUAAACGAUGAACACUAGGUGUCGGGGGAAUCGACCCCCUCGGUGUCGUAGCCAACGCGUUAAGUGUUCCGCCUGGGGAGUACGCACGCAAGUGUGAAACUCAAAGGAAUUGACGGGGGCCCGCACAAGCGGUGGAGUAUGUGGUUUAAUUCGAUGCAACGCGAAGAACCUUACCAGGGUUUGACAUCCUGCGAACCUCUAAGAAAUUGGAGGGUGCCUUCGGGAACGCAGUGACAGGUGGUGCAUGGCUGUCGUCAGCUCGUGUCGUGAGAUGUUGGGUUAAGUCCCGCAACGAGCGCAACCCACGUUUUUAGUUGCCAGCAUUCAGUUGGGCACUCUAGAGAGACCGCCGGUGAUAAACCGGAGGAAGGUGUGGAUGACGUCAAGUCAUCAUGCCCCUUACAUCCUGGGCUACACACGUACUACAAUGCUACGGACAAAGGGCAGCAAACUCGCGAGAGCUAGCAAAUCCCAUAAACCGUGGCUCAGUUCAGAUCGUAGGCUGCAACUCGCCUACGUGAAGGAGGAAUCGCUAGUAAUCGCAGGUCAGCAUACUGCGGUGAAUACGUUCCCGGGCCUUGUACACACCGCCCGUCACACCAUGGAAGUUGGCCACGCCCGAAGUCGUUACUCCAACCCUUGUGGAGGAGGACGCCGAAGGUGGG